AAGUACCCAAAUACCCUUGUAGAUAUUUUUAUUAAAAAAAAAAAAAAAAAAAAAACUUUUGUUCCAAUGUGGAGGAAGGCAACUUCACCUCCCUAUCCCAUUUCCCCCAUUCUCCUCAAUUCUUCAAUUCACAAAGGAUGAGUGACCUAUUCUAAAUUGAUGACUCACCUAGCCUAAGAUACUUCAAUCAUGAAUUUAUUCUCUUCCUUCUCAUUCAUUGUAUCAUCAUUCUCUUCCUCAUUCACCUUAUGAUCAUCCUCAUUCUUCUUUUGUUCCUCUUCAAAAUCCAAAAUUCAUCACUUCCUUGGAGCAGCUGAGAACUCAAAUGUCGAAAGCUCAAAUGAGAAAACUUCGCGCAUCAAAGUUGUUCAUUUGCUGGAGUACUAUAACAUAUAAAAUAAUUAGCAUCAUCUGAUCACUUUAGCUACCUCAAACCAGCUACGAUAUUUCCAUGUUCAUCCAUGGCUGAUGUGUACUUUGGCUCCAAUUGCUUGUUCAAACUAGCCAAUAUCAUCUCAAUGUAAUGUUGAAGGUAUGGAGCUCAUUUCCUACAAUCUUCAUAUUGUCUCAUUGCGCUCUAUUAGUUGUAGACCAAGUGUAUGGUAAUGUCUCAAAGACACAUAUCUCUUUUGUAAAGUAUGUUAUUGUGAUAUUCUAUGUUAUUUCAAUGUAAUUUAGUUUCAAUCUCAGUUUGGGAUUAUGAUUGAUCAAAAUGGACAUCUCAAGGGUUAUUUCAAAGUUUGUUUUGUGCCAUUUAGAUUUAAAUUGAAUUUUUGGUGGAAUUUCAAAGUA